rnacentral:lncRNA from 1 species
AUGUUGAAGGAAAAGCCAUACAUCUUAUCCGUUCUCCUGCAGAGUGAGGUGCCAGGGGAGAGCAGCUCUUAUUUUAUCACGUUGCUGGCAGGAUGCAGUGUGGUGUGGGGCAUGACUCUUGGCCAGGCAGUGGUUUGUGUGCAUGCGCACGUAUGCUGGGCUCACACCCUAACACCAUGGCCAGUCUGCUGUAGGCAGCAAUAAGCAUUUAUUGGCUGGAAUGAGAGCCCCUGUGCUUUGUUCAGUUGAAAUGUACCCAUCUUACUUUAGCCAAAUGUAUUUUGCUUGCAGCAAAUGCAAGCAGAUGGCAGAGAUGCUCCAGAGAUUAAGCACCAUGAUCUUCUCUUGGUAGCCACUCCUAUUCUGUUAAAAACAAAGCAAAACAAGAGACACAUUACAGUAUUCAUUUACUGCAUGUAUGGUUCACCUGAGGGACAGCUCAUCACCAGAGCAGUAUGCCAACCCUGAUAAUGGCCACAUACACAUCAAUGUAGGCACCUUGUUCUCUAUCAGUUGCUUGCAAGCUGUACACAUAUUGCAGAAGCAGUAUUGCUGAACUCUCUCUAAAACACAGAAUGGUAGCUUUCCAUACUGAAAGUUAAAUUGCCUGAUCCUUGGUCUAUGGUCCACUUAAGGUUUAUUAAUGUAUGACAAAACAUCUUCCAAGUUUUCAAAGGGAAAUCUUCUGAAGUAACAAGAUCCAUUUCCUGUGAGUCGAUGCUAAGAUACUUCAAGUUAAAAAUAGGUAAGAAUUUUAAGCACACAAAGAUCUUACAACUGCAACAGCUUUCCGUCCCUCAGCUUGUAAAAACUGCUAUUGAAUGGGAUCAGAUAAGGUUCCCAAAGUGUUAAGUCUGGAAUAAGCAAAAAUGAAAUUUUGGAAGGCUGAAGGAUUUGUACUUUUAAAACCUGUGAAUGCUACAUAGGAAAAGCUUCCUGGCUUUUCUAUGUGCUACUAACACCACCAGCCUCUGAAAAUGGCAAAGUAAAUCCAUUUCCCUGUGCUCAGUCUAAGAAUGUCAUAGACUUCAUAAACUCAAAUCACUUAGUGAUUAUUAUUUUCCGUCUAGUAAUUAAAAAAAAAUAAUAUUAACAGUAAAUUAAAAACACCCUCAACAAACCCCAAACCACCAAACUGUAAGCUAAAUUCCCCUGAAACGGGCAGAUGUUUGAUCCCAGCAACAUAAGUUACUGUAAGCUUGGA